AGCAAGAAAAGACUCAGAGUUAACGAAUUAAUCAGUUAAAGUUCCAAAGGCCAGGGGGAACUUGGCCUGGACCAUUUAAAUAUUCCCUAGAUUUUAAAAAAAGCAUUUCAGCAUAGCCCAUGUCUUCAUUGUGUCAAUUAGAUCAUGCCAGUGUAAGAUUUACUUCAGCCUGUGUGUGGGUAAAAUUGUAAUAUUUCCAGAAUAUCUCACCUGGCUUUAGCGCAUCUUCAGGGGUAGAGAGAAGUAUGGCUUUCAUACAUUUGCAUACCAACAGGCGCGACUCAGGGGUGGAGAAAGGCUCAUCUACGUAUCAAUGGGUAAUUACCUGAGCAACCAAGUGAUGCCGGGGUUCUUGUUUGCGGAGCCGAAGAAUGAGCUUCACAAACAGUCAAUGUAGGAGUGCAAGGUACAGGCUUUUAUUUAGAGAUACAGUGAAAGGACAGAGCUCCCGGCUUACGCCAGGAGGGGACAAGAGAGUCUGUAGUGGUGCGUUGUCUAGGGGAUUUUAUAGGCAGUUGAGGAUUUUUUGAGAACAUGAAAAAACUUAGGGGUGAGGACUUGUUAAGUGGUCCCUGAAUAUUAAAAAUUAACUUAACUGUAAGGAAUUUCCUGCCUUGAUUUCUCUCUGGGACACUGGCGCCUUGGUCAGGGAGCACAUCAAAAGGCUGCCUGCCCAGCCCCCAAGGUGGGCUGAGGUAUUGUCUACUUGCUAAAGAAUCUUGCCUCUUGAACUUCCUGGGUGUUAAAAAAUGCAAUCUUAUCUUUAAGAUGGAAAUCUUUCUGCCUUUUACCAUGUCGUCUACAGCUGGGUCGGCUUGCUAAGUUAAUUGCUCAGUUUGCAAAAUCACCUCCUCAGAUCCGAAGGAGGAAAGACAGCACAUAGGCCUGGGCCUUUUAGCAUGCUAAAGUGAAUCUUACACAUGGUUACAAAUGAUUAGCAUAAUAAAACAUGUGCUACUCUUCUUUAUCUGGGGAACAUUAACUGAUCUCACUGAAGAAUGAUUCUAGAGCUCAAUGUUUAACAUAGAGUUUUAGCAGGGGGGUUUCCUUGCAUGUAGUUACAUUGCUCUGACUGCAAAUAUCCCGCCCUGCCCCCUCCGGAGGCCCUCACCCUACUCUGACUAUAUCCAUGGUCCCUGUCUCACAAGGGCUUAUCUGAACCUGAGAGAUGAGGGGGAGGACUGGAUUUGCUUCUGUGGAGCAGGAAAGAGAGACAGCUCCAGACUGCAGUUUUGUAAGCAAUAAACAGGUUUUAAACUUUAUUUCUCUCUUUGACUGAUUUCGGUUUUAGAGGUAUUUUGCCCCGGGAUUUCCACUAACUGGAGUUACAUUGUAAGAAUGAGAAUAAGUUAGCAUAAGAGUAGCCAUCUUAAGGGCCUAGAAGCAGUUUUCUGAAGUUGUGACUUAAAAGAAAAAAAACUGGAACUGGGUAAGGCCUUGGAAAACAAGUUAAUCAUGAACACCGGGAUGGGGGCAGCUGUAGCCUUCGGUCAGCUAACCUUGGUCAGUUAAUCCUACAUACCAAGCUUAUCGUGCAGAACCUCCCUAACAAUUGAAGAGUGGUCUUAUCUUGCUCUCGCUUAACCCCAGGAUGUAUGUCUUGCAAAGAUAAUGUGCAGCUGUAGAAAAUUACUAAGAGUUAAGUGUUUUGAAAAUGCCAUAUAAACCCUUGGUUUUGAGUGCUCGGGGUCCUUGUUGAGACCCGCUGCGUCGGGCUGACACUUGGACCCCAGCUAGCUGGUCUCUAAAUAAAUUCCUCUUGCUUAUUGCAUCAAGAGACGCCUUUCGUGAGUGAUUUGGGGCGGCGUCCUCCUCUGGGGAAAUCCAACAUUUGGGGGCUCGUCCGGGAUCUGCGCUCACCCCGCUUCACUCCCGAAGUCGCUCUUGGAGGAAGAGUAUGUUUAUUUGCACGAGUUUAGUAAGAAUCUGCUUUCCUUGUGAGAAGACUAAUUAAGAACACUGGUUAUACUGCCAGAGCUUUGGCUAGAAUGUCAUACCUGAGAGACAUGUGCAUGGACUCAGAUGUGAACAACUUUAAGGAACUAAGAUUGACUUUAUAGGGCCAACAAAGCCCCUUGGAAGAACUAGCCUAGUACCUUGCUUGCAGAGUUCCCAGCAGCCUUCCCAGGUGAGUAAAGAAGGUCGCUUCCUGGCAGGUGCAGAGACCUCGAGAAGAGAGGAAUUCAUCCAAAUCUACAGGUACUGCAGGCAAAGCCUGAUGGCAGGUCUGGCUUGGCUGUCUAGCCUCAAGAGGCCUUUAAAAGUUCAAUCUGAAGUUCCUUGCAAAAAGUUCCAGCAAAGCAUAUUUAAAAGACCCUGUGUAAUCAAUUGCUCUUCUUGCUGCACUUGUGCAAAUAAUCAAGCUAGCUGUUAAUUAUUUUCUUAACCUAGUUACUUCUAAUAAAAAUGAAAGUGAUUUUAAAGUAUUGUUUCAAUAAUGCAGCCUCCUUCCAGAAUAAAAAAUCCAACUCCAGAUGUUGCUACAUAACCUAAUAACACAAUUUGUUUUAUCUUGCCUAGAAGCCACAAAACUGCAAAUAGUAAUAGAAACAAAACCCAAGAUAGAAGCGCCAGCCUUCUGAAGCCCUCUCAACUGACCAGUGAUAGAGACCUAGCUGCACCCUUUACUGCGCCCUCUUCUCAGCACGAAGCAGCCAGAGCGGUCAUCGCCCCUUUUCCCUAGCAGCAGCUAGAGUCUCUACCUGUAGAAGAGAAAAUGAGACAGGGACCAUAGGCUUAGACAGAAUAAAGUAAGAGCCUCUGGAAGAAGCGGGGCGGGAUAUUUGCAAUCAGAGCAAUGUAACUACAUGCUAGAACUCCCCCCCUACUAGAACUAUGUUAAACAUGAAACUCUAGAAUCAUUCUUCAGUAAGAUCAGUUAAUGUUCCCCAGAUAGAGAAGAGUAGCACAUGUUUUGUUAUGCUAGUCAUUUGUAAUCGUGUAUAAGAUUCGCUUUGGCAUACUGGAGAGCCUGAGCCUGUGUGCUGUCUUUCCUCCUUCAGAUCUGACUAGGUAAUUUUGCAAGCUGAGCAAUUGACUUAGCAUACAGACCCAGCUGUAGACGACAUAGUAAAAAGCAAGAUUCUUUAGCAAAUAGACAAUAUCUCAGCCCACCUUAGAGGCUGGGCAUGCAAUCUUUUGAUGUGCACCCGAACCAGGGCGCCAGUGUCCCAGAGAGAAAUCAAGGAAAGAAAUUAUCUUUAAUAUUCAAAGACCCCUUCCCCGUUACCCAAACUGACAACCGCGAUUUAUAUAAUAAGUUAAAAGCUCUUCAGGCAGUCCAAAGAGAAGUGUAGACCCAACUAAAAGCAGUCUAUGAGCCCGGCACUUCAGAAGCAGCCCACCUGUUCCAAGUUAAAAACUUUGUGUUUGUAAAGCGACACCGAGCGCAGACCCUUGAGCCACGGUAGAAAAGACCCUACUUAGUGUUACUGACCACCCCAACAGCAGUCAAAGUUAGUAAGAUUGCCACCUGGAUCCACGCAUCUCAUGUGAAACCCGUUGUCUCAGCCGAGACAGCUGACGACCAUCUCACGUGGAGAGCCCAACCUACUGAGAAUCCUCUCCAGCUUAAAAAUCACCAGAAGACCCCUAAAGUGACCAGGUGCGCGUCCAGAGACACCAACGCUGUUUAGCUGACCCACACACCGUUCUCAAAAACUAUUCCAAGAUAACCACGUCAGCUGGACAAAGACAACCGUCAAAAGCUAAGACUGCACCGUUCAUAUUGUGCCUUUCCCCUAUUGCACUACCAAACAGAUGACCUCUAAUUUCAUGAUUGAAAUAGUUACAAGAAGAAGAGGGGAAUGUAAAAAUGAGAAUAAGUUAGCAUAAGAGUAGCCAUCUUAAGGGCCUAGAAGCAGUUUUCUGAAGUUGUGACUUAAAAGAAAAAAAACUGAAACUGGGUAAGGCCUUGGAAAACAAGUUAAUCAUGAACACCGGGAUGGGGGCAGCUGUGGCCUUCAGUCAGCUAACCUUGGUCAGUUAAUCCUACAUACCAAGCUUAUCGUGCAGAACCUCCCUAAAUUGAGGAGUGGUCUUACCUUGCUCUCGCUUAACCCCAGGAUGUAUGUCUUGCAAAGAUAAUGUGCAGCUGUGGAAAAUUACUAAGAGUUAAGUGUUUUGAAAAUGCCAUAUAAACCCUUGGUUUUGAGUGCUCGGGGUCCUUGUUGAGACCUGCUGCGUCGGGCUGACACUUGGACCCCAGCUAGCUGGUUCCUGAAUAAAUUCCUCUUGCUUAUUGCAUCAAGAGACACCUUCUGUGAGUGAUUUAGGGUAGCGCUCUCCUCUGGGAAAAAUCCAACACUGAGCUCAAUUUCAUAAAAGCAUAUGUAUAUAUGUGUAUAUACAUAUAGGUGCUUCUUUCUGUUAAUAUACCAAAAAUGACUCCAUCAAUAUUUACCUAACGUUAACAAGUUAUUUGUGAACUUGAGAUGUUUCACAAUUUUUUGUAUUUGUAUUUUCUGCAUCAUUUGGGUUUUGUUAUAAUAAGCUCCUGUAAUUUUUGCAAAAAUUACAACUUAAAAAUUAGACUUGAAGAAAAAUAUGUAAAGACGUUAACAGUUAAUUUCAGGUGGUGGGAAUAUGGAGGACUGCUUAUCUUCUUCCUUAUGCCUUUUUCAUAUGCUGGAAUUUAAAAACUGGAUGACCUGGAGGUGAAAACAAUUCAUACCGAAGAGGUGUGGGGUAGGUGAGGGGAAAAUGGAAAGAGGAAGGGGAAGAGGAAAAAAAGCCUACUUCUGGCAGGAAUUUUGUUUACGUUGGAGAUUUUGGGGGAGCAGCUGUUGGCAUAACAAGGGUGUUUGGGAGGCAGGUGGGUCGUGAGGAUAUUCAGCACAGUUUUAUACCUGUUACGUGAUUCCUCCGUGGUGUUUUGUUUUGUUUUGUUCAAAAGAAAGAUACAGACUUAAAUGUCAAACAUUUUUACCAUUUGUAUUUCUCUUUUAUUAGCAGCAGUACAAACAUACGGUUCUGAGCAUAUCUUCUGGAGCCAGGCUGGCUUUGGUAAAAAUUCCCACUUCCGAAUCCCACUCUCUAGUUGAGUGACUGAACGGACCGAUUACUUAAUCUUUCCAUGUCUCAGUUUUCUCAUAGGUAAAAUGGGGAUGAGAGUAUGAUAUAGGCCUGUUGAGGAUUAAGUGAGUAAACAGGUGUAAAAUUUGUACACUAUUCCUGGCACAUGGCACUCUGCAUAUAAUCACUGAGUGUUAGUCCUUCUAUUUGGGGCACAACACUGCAGAAAGACUGGAUGGGAUAAAAACUGAUUUUAUUUCAGUUAUAGCACUGAUAACUUUUCAGUGGCUGUGGACCCUCCCAAGGGAGAGCAAAGUAAUCCUCUGAUCAGCAGUAAUCUGGGCUGGGAGAAUCUGGAGGGCUUAUUAGAACAUUUAUUUGGUCCACUCAUUAAAAGGGGAUAAGGAUCCAUUUCCUUGUAUCAAAAAUGCCCCCAUAAAAAAAUUUACAGUGUUACAGCCAAAUGAGACAGGGACCGUGGGCGUAGUCAGAGUAGGGUGAGGGCCUCCGGGAAAAGCAGGGUGGAAUAUUUACAGUCAGAGCAAUGUAACAAUGGGCAAAGAAGUCCCCAUUGAAACUCUGUUAAGCAUUAUGCAAAGUGAAGGUCACACUAAUUCUCUAGGGAGAGAUACCUAAGAAUAUAGACAUCUUCAGUGCGAUCAGUUAAAGGUCAAAAGGCCAGAAGCAACUUGGCCUGGAAUGUUUGAGUGUUGUGCAAGGGUGUCAGCAUAACCCGUGACUCUGCUGUCAGCCCUAACAAUCAGACUUUGACCCAGCCCACCUUGAGGACAGGGCAGGUGAUGCAAGUCCACACCCCUAAGUUUUUUUCAUGUUCUCGAAAAAUCCUCAACUGCCUAUAAAACCCCCUAGACAAGGCACCACUACGGACUCUCUUGUCCCCUCCUGGCAUGAGCUGAGAGCUCUGUCCUCUCACUUUAUUUCUAAAUAAAAGCCUGUACCUUGCUCUCCUA